rnacentral:rRNA from 1 species
GAUUGGAAGAGUCUGUCUAAGCAGUGAGGUGUGAAUUGAGUCAAAUGCUUAAUUCUAUAACAUUGAGCUGUGAUGGGGAGCGAAGUUUAGUAGCGAAGUUAGUGACGUCACACUGCCAAGAAAAGCUUCUAGCGUUUAAACAUACUCUACCCGUACCGCAAACCGACACAGGUAGUCGAGGCGAGUAGCCUCAGGUGAGCGAGAGAACUCUCGUUAAGGAACUCGGCAAAAUGACCCCGUAACUUCGGGAGAAGGGGUGCUGACUUUAAGUCAGCCGCAGUGAAUAGGCCCAAGCAACUGUUUAUCAAAAACACAGCUCUCUGCUAAAUCGUAAGAUGAUGUAUAGGGGGUGACGCCUUCCCGGUGCUGGAAGGUUAAGAGGAGUGCUUAGCGUAAGCGAAGGUAU